AACGAACGCUGGCGGCAGGCUUAACACAUGCAAGUCGAGCGCCCCGCCAGGGGAGCGGCAGACGGGUGAGUAACGCGUGGGAACGUACCUUUUGGUUCGGAACAACUCCGGGAAACUGGAGCUAAUACCGGAUAAGCCCUAACGGGGAAAGAUUUAUCGCCCAAAGAUCGGCCCGCGUCUGAUUAGCUAGUUGGUGAGGUAACGGCACACCAAGGCGACGAUCAGUAGCUGGUCUGAGAGGAUGAUCAGCCACACUGGGACUGAGACACGGCCCAGACUCCUACGGGAGGCAGCAGUGGGGAAUAUUGGACAAUGGGCGCAAGCCUGAUCCAGCCAUGCCGCGUGAGUGAUGAAGGCCUUAGGGUUGUAAAGCUCUUUUGUCCGGGAAGAUAAUGACUGUACCGGAAGAAUAAGCCCCGGCUAACUUCGUG
rnacentral:rRNA from 1 species